rnacentral:misc_RNA from 1 species
GUGAUCUCAGAUUCUCUGCCUGCUGAGAAGAAUGAGCAACUAGUGAAAUCAAAUUCAGUAGCAAAUAACUCUCAGCCUACAGAGGCACCAAAGGAUAUAUGCAUGUCAUCUGAACUGCCUUCAGAAGCAAAAGAGUCUCAGCAGCCAGUUGCCUCAAAUUCAGUUGUUGGAAAAGGAGCAACUGCAGCUGAGGACCACAAGGACAGUAAAAAAUGGAAGCCUAAUCGUGAAGAGAUUAAAGAGGACAACCGCUUCUAUAAAUUUAAGUGUGCUGCAGUUUCUGCUCUUUCAGCAGCAGCAGUGAAGGCAAAACUUCUUGCAAACCAGGAAGAAGACCAAAUCCGUCAACUUGCUGCAUUGUUGAUAAAAAAGCAGGUGCAUAAGCUGGAAAUGAAGUUGGCUUUCUUUAAAGAAAUGGACCUCGUGACAAUGAGGGUUAGGGAGCAACUUGACAGAUUAAGGCAAAGGCUGUACCAUGAGCGAGCACAAAUAAUUGCAGCCCGACUUGGGUUACCAGCAUCUUCAUCUAGAGGAAUGCCACCAACAUCACCCACCAACAGAAUUGCAACGAACUGUGCAAACUCAAUUCCGAGGCCCCUUAUGAGCAUGACUUCCCAAAGGCCGCCAAUUGCAAGACCCAUGGGGACAUUGUCUCCUACCCCUUCUAACCCAUUUGUAUCA